CCUACGGGAGGCAGCAGUAGGGAAUUUUCGUCAAUGGGCGCAAGCCUGAACGAGCGAUGCCGCGUGAGUGAAGAAGGCCUUCGGGUCGUAAAGCUCUGUUGCGGGGGAAAAAAGGCAGCAUCAGGAAAUGGGUGCUGACUGAUGGUGCCCCGCCAGAAAGUCACGGCUAACUACGUGCCAGCAGCCGCGGUAAUACGUAGGUGGCGAGCGUUAUCCGGAAUGAUUGGGCGUAAAGGGUGCGCAGGCGGUCCUGCAAGUCUGGAGUGAAACGCAUGAGCUCAACUCAUGCAUGGCUUUGGAAACUGGAGGACUGGAGAGCAGGAGAGGGCGGUGGAACUCCAUGUGUAGCGGUAAAAUGCGUAGAUAUAUGGAAGAACACCAGUGGCGAAGGCGGCCGCCUGGCCUGUUGCUGACGCUGAGGCACGAAAGCGUGGGGAGCAAAUAGGAUUAGAUACCCCAGUAGUC
rnacentral:rRNA from 1 species